GAGGUUAUGGCUCAGUGGUAGAGCGCUUGCCUAGUGUGCACAAGGCAUGGGUUCAAUUCUCAUAACCACA
rnacentral:tRNA from 1 species